UACGUAGGUGGCAAGCGUUGUCCGGAAUUAUUGGGCGUAAAGCGCGCGCAGGCGGUCCUUUAAGUCUGAUGUGAAAGCCCACGGCUCAACCGUGGAGGGUCAUUGGAAACUGGGGGACUUGAGUGCAGGAGAGAAAAGUGGAAUUCCACGUGUAGCGGUGAAAUGCGUAGAGAUGUGGAGGAACACCAGUGGCGAAGGCGACUUUUUGGCCUGUAACUGACGCUGAGGCGCGAAAGCGUGGGGAUGCAAAC
rnacentral:rRNA from 1 species